rnacentral:rRNA from 1 species
CUACGGGUCGCUGCAGUGGGGAAUAUUGCACAAUGGGCGCAAGCCUGAUGCAGCCAUGCCGCGUGUAUGAAGAAGGCCUUCGGGUUGUAAAGUACUUUCAGCGGGGAGGAAGGGAGUAAAGUUAAUACCUUUGCUCAUUGACGUUACCCGCAGAAGAAGCACCGGCUAACUCCGUGCCAGCAGCCGCGGUAAUACGGAGGGUGCAAGCGUUAAUCGGAAUUACUGGGCGUAAAGCGCACGCAGGCGGUUUGUUAAGUCAGAUGUGAAAUCCCCGGGCUCAACCUGGGAACUGCAUCUGAUACUGGCAAGCUUGAGUCUCGUAGAGGGGGGUAGAAUUCCAGGUGUAGCGGUGAAAUGCGUAGAGAUCUGGAGGAAUACCGGUGGCGAAGGCGGUCCCCUGGACGAAGACUGACGCUCAGGUGCGAAGGCGUGGGGAGCAAACAGGAUUAGAUACCCUAGUAGUC